rnacentral:rRNA from 1 species
AGUGAACGCUGGCGGUAGGCCUAACACAUGCAAGUCGAACGGCAGCACAGUAAGAGCUUGCUCUUACGGGUGGCGAGUGGCGGACGGGUGAGGAAUACAUCGGAAUCUACUUUUUCGUGGGGGAUAACGUAGGGAAACUUACGCUAAUACCGCAUACGACCUACGGGUGAAAGCAGGGGAUCUUCGGACCUUGCGCGAUUGAAUGAGCCGAUGUCGGAUUAGCUAGUUGGCGGGGUAAAGGCCCACCAAGGCGACGAUCCGUAGCUGGUCUGAGAGGAUGAUCAGCCACACUGGAACUGAGACACGGCCCAGACUCCUACGGAAGGCAGAAGUGGGGAAUAUUGGACAAUGGGCGCAAGCCUGAUCCAGCCGUACCGCGUGGGUGAAGAAGGCCUGCGGGUUGUAAAGCCCUUUUGUUGGGAAAGAAAAGCAGCAGGUUAAUACCCCGCUGUUCUGACGGUACCCAAAGAAUAAGCACCGGCUAACUUCGU